rnacentral:rRNA from 1 species
AGUGAACGCUGGCGGCAGGCCUAAUACAUGCAAGUCGAACGGCAGCACAGCAGAGCUUGCUCUGUGGGUGGCGAGUGGCGGACGGGUGAGGAAUACAUGGGAAUCUGCCCAGUCGUGGGGGAUAACGUAUGGAAACGUACGCUAAUACCGCAUGCGCCCUUUGGGGGAAAGCCGGGGACCUUCGGGCCUGGCGCGAUUGGAUGAGCCCAUGUUCGAUUAGCUAGUUGGCGGGGUAAAGGCCCACCAAGGCGACGAUCGAUAGCUGGUCUGAGAGGAUGAUCAGCCACACUGGGACUGAGACACGGCCCAGACUCCUACGGGAGGUAGCAGUAGGGAAUAUUGGACAAUGGGCGCAAGCCUGAUCCAGCCAUGCCGCGUGAGUGAAGAAGGCCCUCGGGUUGUAAAGCUCUUUUGUCCGGAAAGAAAAGCAUUCGGUUAAUACCCGGGUGUUCUGACGGUACCGGAAGAAUAAGCACCGGCUAACUUCGUG